ensembl:antisense C030010L15Rik RIKEN cDNA C030010L15 gene
AUAACUGUGCUGUGAAAAGUGCUGGAGUCCAUCUCUGGUGGGGUUCUGGAACCUGAAGACAGAUGUGUGGUCUCCGCAAAAGUGAGGACUCUGACUACCUGUUAGACCUUUCAACCAAGUGGCACUGAAUAGCUCGAGUCAUCUUUCUUUAAACAAUCUUUCUUUAAACAAUCACAAGCCUGCUCCCAGGAGCAGUGAUAUCAUUGGUUAUUCUACUUAAUGAAAUCAUAACAUCAGCAUUAUAAAAGCCCCAUCACUGUAAAAGCCCUCAAUAGUUUUCCUUCCUCCUUCCCAUCUCCUGCUAUCGAUUGAGGAAUGUAAGCUCCAGGGAUGUGGCAGACAGCAUCUGGUGUGCUCCAACUCAGAGAAGCCUUCGUGCAGCAAAAAAGAUGUUACAGAUAUUUCCCUUAGCAAACAAGGAUCAGAAACUCUAUACACAAUGCAGGAUUUUCACAUGCCUCUUUCUGCUCAUUUAUGAUAC